rnacentral:rRNA from 1 species
GAUGAACGCUGGCGGCGUGCCUAACACAUGCAAGUCGAGCGAUUCUCUUCGGAGAAGAGCGGCGGACGGGUGAGUAACGCGUGGGUAACCUGCCCUGUACACACGGAUAACAUACCGAAAGGUAUGCUAAUACGAGAUAAUAUGCUUUUAUCGCAUGGUAGAAGUAUCAAAGCUCCGGCGGUACAGGAUGGACCCGCGUCUGAUUAGCUAGUUGGUAAGGUAACGGCUUACCAAGGCGACGAUCAGUAGCCGACCUGAGAGGGUGAUCGGCCACAUUGGAACUGAGACACGGUCCAAACUCCUACGGGAGGCAGCAGUGGGGAAUAUUGCACAAUGGGCGAAAGCCUGAUGCAGCAACGCCGCGUGAGCGAUGAAGGCCUUCGGGUCGUAAAGCUCUGUCCUCAAGGAAGAUAAUGACGGUACUUGAGGAGGAAG